AGAGUUUGAUCAUGGCUCAKAACGAACGCUGGCGGCGUGGAUUAGGCAUGCAAGUCGAACGAGAAAGGGUUCGCAAGAACCCGAGUAAAGUGGCGAAAAAAUGAGUAAUACCUAGGUAACCUGCCCUGAAAACGGGGAAAACAGCCCUAACGGGCUGCUAAUACCCGAUAUGUCGGCAACCUCKCAUGGGGAGGCCGGUAAAGGUAGCCUCUGUUAACAAGCUUCCGCUUCAGGAGGGGCCUCGGGCCUAUCAGGUAGUUGGCGGGGUAACGGCCCACCAAGCCGGGGACGGGUAGCCGGUCUGAGAAAAUAAUCGGCCACACUGGGACUAAGACACUGCCCAAACUCCUACAAGAGGCUGCAAUCGAGGAUCUUCUGCAAUGGGCGCAAGCCUGACAGAGCGACGCCACGUAAAA
rnacentral:rRNA from 1 species